ACCAUUUCGCUGUGAUGAAUAUGCUAUGAGAUUCAUACAGAAAUAUCACAUGAAAAAGCACAAAAGAACUCACAGUGGAGAGAAGCCUUAUCAGUGUGAAUACUACUUGCAGGUUUUCAUCUCUGGACUCUACCACAGCAUCCUAGAACCUCAGCUCAAGGUCUCCCAAAGAUGAUGCAGUUUCUCUCUACCUUCCCUCUGCCCUAGGUCUGCUUAUUCUCCAUUUCCCUUCAAAAAAGAUCAGGCCACCAAGAGAUGAUAACCAGACAAGAAAAAACAGCACGGUAAGACAAGCCCAAAACCUUUGUAUUGAGACUGGACAAGUCACCCCAAAAGGAGGAGAAAUGUCUCCAAAACAGGCAAAGGAGUCAGAGAUACACUUGCUUCCACUGUUGAG